CAACGCUGGCGGCGUGCCUAACACAUGCAAGUCGAACGCGAAAACCCCGAAAGGGGUGAGUAGAGUGGCAAACGGGUGAGUAACGCGUGGGUGACCUGCCUUCAAGCGGGGGACAACGUUCCGAAAGGGACGCUAAUACCGCAGAACAUCCUGCCUUUGAACAGGUGGAGAUCAAAGCUGGGGAUUCGCAAGAACCCGGCACUUGAAGAGGGGCCCGCGUCUGAUUAGCUAGUUGGUGAGGUAACGGCUCACCAAGGCGACGAUCAGUAUCCGGCCUGAGAGGGCGGACGGACACACUGGGACUGAGACACGGCCCAGACUCCUACGGGAGGCAGCAGUGGGGAAUUGUUCGCAAUGGGCGCAAGCCUGACAACGCAACGCCACGUGGAGGAUGAAGAUUUUCGGAUCGUAAACUCCUGUCCAAUGGGAUGAAAAGGUCACGGUUUAAUAUUCCGUGAUCCUGACGGUACCGUUAAAGGAAACCCCGGCUAACUCCGUGCCAGCAGCCGCGGUAAUACGGGGGGGGUAAGCGUUGUUCGGAAUUACUGGGCGUAAAGGGCUUGUAGGCGGCCAACUAGUCAGACGUGAAAUCCCUCAGCUUAACUGGGGAACUGCGUCUGAUACUGGAUGGCUUGGAUUCGGGAGAGGAAUGCGGAAUUCCAGGUGUAGCGGUGAAAUGCGUAGAUAUCUGGAGGAACACCGGUGGCGAAGGCGGCAUUCUGGACCGAUAUUGACGGUGAGGAGCGAAAGCCAGGGGAGCAAACGGGAUUAGAUACCCCGGUAGUCCUGGCCCUAAACGAUGAAUGCUUGGUGUGGCGGGUAUCGAUCCCUGCCGUGCCGAAGUUAACGCAUUAAGCAUUCCGCCUGGGGAGUACGGUCGCAAG
rnacentral:rRNA from 1 species